rnacentral:tRNA from 1 species
GGGCGGGUAGCUCAGCUGGUUAGAGCACAUCGUUGACAUCGAUGAGGUCGCAGGUUCGAUCCCUGUCUCGCCCA